rnacentral:lncRNA from 1 species
CAAACAAGCUUGUGGUGGUUAAACAUUUGACUGGUGUGCUCGGCUUUCUUGUUUCAGUGACAUAUGAAGAUGCAAAGUACAAAGAAAAAAAAUUCGGAAGCGACGUCCGACCUAACAUUGAAUAAUGAAGAGCGGGAGAAGAGAAAAAGGAAGAGACUGCAGCAUACUCUUUCUUCAUUUGAGGAUGAGGACUUCUAUGACCAAGAUGAACGACGUAACACUCAGCCAGCCCCUCAACUUCCAGAACGUGCACCAGAGCCCAAGCAAAAACGCACACGUGAGCUGUGCACACCUGCUUUAAACAGAAGGCAGAA